UUAACACUAGAGGGACUGAUUGCAUGUUAUAACUGAAAUAAUAUCAGUUUGGUUUUAAUAUUUGCAUCUCAGUCAUUCUCAUCCUAUGCCAAUGGUAAAGAAAGGGUGAACAAUUUCAGUUGAAGAAAGUGAUUACUUCAAUGACUCUCUGAUUGAUCUGCUCCUCUCCGCUAUGCGCUAAUUUAUUCAAGCCUUGCUACAUAAAGGUUCAUUGAGAAGCUAAUACGCUGAUGACUAUUACCUCCAUUCAUCCGAGAGCAGUCAUAAAUAUAUGGGAGUUGAUGAGCUGAUUGUGUUUUCGCAGUUGCGAUGAGUUGAUCGGUGAAGACUCUGGAAAAGUCAAGUAGGUAGCAAUUGGUCACUUGGUCAGCUUGGAUUCGAAGUAUAGCAGCAGCUUUGCAGUACUGGUUGUGCAACUGGAUACCUAAUAGUACCG